UACGGGGGGGGCAAGCGUUGUUCGGAAUUACUGGGCGUAAAGGGCGCGUAGGCGGCAGAUCAAGUCAGCUGUGAAAUCUCCGAGCUUAACUCGGAACUGUCAGCUGAUACUGUUUUGCUAGAGUGCGGAAGGGGCAAUCGGAAUUCUUGGUGUAGCGGUGAAAUGCGUAGAUAUCAAGAGGAACACCUGAGGUGAAGACGGGUUGCUGGGCCGACACUGACGCUGAGUGCGCGAAAGCCAGGGGAGCAAACGGG
rnacentral:rRNA from 1 species